rnacentral:ncRNA from 2 species
AGGUGCGGUAGAGGCGCGAAUGACAAGAGUACUGUGGAGUAAGUUGCGGAAACUAAUGAGCCCAUGGGAAAGGAGAUUUCGCCGAAGCCCAAAAAUUCGCAGUUUUUGGUGCUGGGCCUGUAGUGAAGAACUGCAGGACUGUCAUACAAUGUUAAGGAAAAACAUUGUAUGGAGAGCUACUCCCAAC